ACGACCUUACUUGAAUAGGAUUUGUUCUAUACGAUCGUACCUUUGUAUCCUUGAGUUAUAAGGAGACAAGCUUCCAAGUCUGGUUGAUGAAAUGAGAUUGUGUGAUCAGAGCGUGAUUAUUGGUCAGCAGUCUCUUAAAUAUGGACUUCAUUGGCCGUAGAGGAUCGUUCUCAGCCUGCCUUGUCUUGUCGGGAUGGCCACACAGUUGUCUAACAUACU